AGAAAGUGAUAAGGGCAUAGUCUCAUCAUGUCCUUAUAUCGUUCCCAAGCUUCAAAAAGUGACUCUCCUUUUGUUUAUCUCAAUGUAGUUAUGUGAUUUCUUAGCAC